ACGCACGCUGGCGGCGUGCUUAACCCCUGCCAGUCGAACGGAAAGGCCCCCUUGUGGGGUACUCGAGUGGCGAACGGGUGAGUAACACGUGAGUAACCUACCCUUGACUUUGGGAUAACUUCAGGAAACUGGGGCUAAUACCGGAUAGGAGCUCCUGCUGCAUGGUGGGGGUUGGAAAGUUUCGGCGGUUGGGGAUGGACUCGCGGCUUAUCAGCUUGUUGGUGGGGUAGUGGCUCACCAAGGCUUUGACGGGUAGCCGGCCUGAGAGGGUGACCGGCCACAUUGGGACUGAGAUACGGCCCAGACUCCUACGGGAGGCAGCAGUGGGGAAUAUUGCACAAUGGGCGGAAGCCUGAUGCAGCAACGCCGCGUGCGGGAUGACGGCCUUCGGGUUGUAAACCGCUUUCGCCUGUGACGAAGCGUGAGUGACGGUAAUGGGUAAAGAAGCACCGGCUAACUACGUG
rnacentral:rRNA from 1 species